CUCGUUCUUGGUGAGCCUACUCAGUUCGAUCAAUUCUACAAUAUGGCCCUCAAGCAAGAAGGUGCUCAACUCAAGUGUGAGGCUUCUAAGAAGAGAAUCAGGGAUGCAGUUCAGUCUUCUUCUUCCUCACAAGUGGCAGCUAAGCAGCAGAAGUUCUACCUUCCUCCUCCUCCGUUUCGUCAGCCUUACCAGCAGAAGAACUCAGGUGGUCAUGGAUCUUCCCACGCACCCAAUCCAGCUAUCAGAACAAGUCAAAUUCUCAAGCUCCAAGGUCAAAUGCUCCUUAUCAUCGUCCGCUCUCAGAGGUGA
rnacentral:rRNA from 1 species